GGUUUCUCUCAGACCAAGAUUGAAUGUGAUGACAAGGGUGAUGGAUGGUGUGACAUGUGCUGCGGGCCCACAGAACCAGUUUUCUCUAGGUUAAGGCGUACGGUCCAGGCCUUCAGAGCAGUGGUCUGGCUGUUGGAAAACCCACUGAAUUCACAGUUGAUGCCAAGCAAGGAGGAAAAGCUCCUCUGAAAAUUAUAGCCCAGGAUGGUGAAGUCAAUUCUGUGGAUGUCCAGGUUAAGGAUAAUGGCAACAGCACAUACACCUGCACCUACACCCCACGUAAGCCUGUGAAGCAGACUGUGAUGGUCUCCUGGGGAGACUGAGAGUCCAUUCAGGGUGAGUAUGCACUCACACACACUCUCACUUUCACUCUUGCAUGCAGGGUUUGUCUUUUCUUCUCACUGAAAAGUCUCUUGAGUUUUGGUGUUUGUGCCCACAGAUGAAUAUCGGAGCAGGCUGUCAUCCAACAAGGUGAAGGUCUCUGACCCUGGAGUGGCAAAGACGGGCCUCAAAGCCUUCCAGCCGACAUACUUCACUGUUGACUGCUCAGAGUCUGGUCAAGGUAAAGCUCCAUAAAACUGUGUG
rnacentral:lncRNA from 1 species